rnacentral:misc_RNA from 1 species
UUGUCACUAGUUUGUAAUUUUUCGUCGACUAACUGCUUGUUGCAGUAGUGUCUUACUACUGUACUGUCUGACCUACACUAUACGUUUCUACUGUAAAUGUUAGAACGUAGUGAAAUUUUUAGGUACUCUAUAUUGUUAUUAAUAUACGAGUUUACGAUAUCGGAAGUGAUCGAACUCGUGAGGACGCGCGACCACGUUGAAGAUAUAACAGAAGGACUCUUUGUAACUCUGACUUAUGUAGCCCUGUGCUUUAAGUACGGAAAUUUCCUGGUGCGACGAGACGAGAUGUCUGCAUUGUUGAACUGUUUUCGAGGUCAGACGUGCCAGCCGAAGAACUCCGAGGAACGGACGAUUCUGAUUAAAUACGACCGCAAAGCUAGGUGGUGCGUUAGAACCUUCAUGAGCAUGUGCCAAGCUGCCUGCUUGGCCUUUGUGUUGGCUCCUAUUGUGGGACCGCAAGACACCGACAGGCCGUUGCCUUUUAAGACGUAUAUACCAUAUUCCAUAUCCGAUUGGUAUAUAUACGUGCUGACGUACUUGCAGCAUGCAGCUGCUACAUUUUACGGAAUCCUGCUUAACGUCUCCUUCGACGCCCUUGUUUAUGGCUUUACUCUUCACGCUUGCGGACAGAUCGAGUUGCUGUGCCACCGUCUGUCGGAGAUCUUCGAGGAUCAUCUCAAUGUAAAUCAGUAUCGGAUCAAAUCGAACAAGGCGGUGGUAAUCGGCGAAUGCGUGAGGCAUCAUCUGCGCGUGCACGAGCUCGUCAACAGGAUACAGUCGUUGUUCGUGUGGACUGUGACGAUCUUGUUCAUUUUCAGCAUGGUCACCCUGUGCACCAGUAUUUUCCAAAUGUCCAAGAAGAGGCUCCUCAGUGUCGGAUUCCUCUCAUUGGUCCUGUACCUCGGAUGCAUGCUGUUCCAAGUGUUCUUCUACUGCUGGUACGGAAACGAGCUGCAGCUGAAGGUGAUCGGAAGAGCAAGAGCAUCAGCGACGCUAUUUAUUCGAGCAAUUGGACGACCGCCACGUUGCAAGAUCGUAGGAGCUUGCUAUUCGUGAUGACUAUCAGUCAGAGGGGAUUGAAGCUGUCCUAUUACGGCAUCUUCAACUUGGCUCUCGACACUUUCACCUGGGUAUUGAAGACGUCUUAUUC